AUGUUGUACCCGGACGUCACGCUGCCACACCACUGGCACCUCGAUUCACAGCAGAUCCCGGUGCCGGCGGUGCCGCGCUCACAGCGGCCGCAUGAUGAGGAGGUGCGCAGGAAAUGGAAGCAGCUCACGCCGGCGCAGUGGCGCAAGCCCGAGUACACCGUAGACUCUCCCAAUUGGGAGGCCUGGUUUGCCCUCGAACACGAGGAGCAAUGGCGGCUCGGCGCCCACAUCAACCACGACCUUCCAUCGCCUCCCCUAUGGGUACAGCCGGAGGAAGAGGAGGCGGAGGCAGAGUACCAAGACGCCCUCGAGGAGGCACGUGGUGGGGGACUCCGUCCAGGCGCCCCUGUUUGUGCCGCCACCGCCGCCGGCGCCGCCCCUCGUCGAGCCCAAGGACGAGCCGGAGCCGGAGCGUGA
rnacentral:rRNA from 1 species